AUUGAACGCUGGCGGCAUGCCUUACACAUGCAAGUCGAACGGUAACGCGGGGCAACCUGGCGACGAGUGGCGAACGGGUGAGUAACGCAUCGGAACGUGCCCAGUCGUGGGGGAUAGCCCGGCGAAAGCCGGAUUAAUACCGCAUACGACCUACGGGUGAAAGCGGGGGAUCGCAAGCCCUCGCACUAUUGGAGCGGCCGAUGUCAGAUUAGGUAGUUGGUGGGGUAAAAGCCUACCAAGCCGACGAUCGGUAGCUGGGCUGAGAGGACGACCAGCCACACUGGGACUGAGACACGGCCCAGACGCCUACGGGAGGCAGCAGUGGGGAAUUUUGGACAAUGGGCGCAAGCCUGAUCCAGCCAUGCCGCGUGCGGGAAGAAGGCCUUCGGGUUGUAAACCGCUUUUGUCAGGGAAGAAACGCUCUGGGCUAAUACCCCGGGGUAAUGACGGUACCUGAAGAAUAAGCACCGGCUAACUACGUGCCAGCCGCCGCAGUAA
rnacentral:rRNA from 1 species